GAUGAAGAACGUAGCAAAAUGCGAUAAGUAGUGUGAAUUGCAGAAUUCAGUGAAUCAUCGAAUCUUUGAACGCACAUUGCGCCCGCUGGUAUUCCGGCGGGCAUGCCUGUUCGAGCGUCAUUUCAACCCUCAAGCCCCCGGGUUUGGUGUUGGGGAUCGGCUCUGCCUUCUGGCGGUGCCGCCCCCGAAAUACAUUGGCGGUCUCGCUGCAGCCUCCAUUGCGUAGUAGCUAACACCUCGCAACUGGAACGCGGCGCGGCCAUGCCGUAAAACCCCAACUUCUGAAUGUUGACCUCGGAUCAGGUAGGAAUACCCGCUGAACUUAAGCAUAUCAAUAAGCGGAGGA
rnacentral:misc_RNA from 1 species